rnacentral:rRNA from 1 species
CCUACGGGAGGCAGCAGUGAGGAAUAUUGGUCAAUGGGCGAGAGCCUGAACCAGCCAAGUCGCGUGAGGGAGUACUGCCCUAUGGGUUGUAAACCUCUUUUGUCGGGGAGCAAAAGCCGGACGUGUCCGGCUGUGAGAGUACCCGAAGAAAAAGCAUCGGCUAACUCCGUGCCAGCAGCCGCGGUAAUACGGAGGAUGCGAGCGUUAUCCGGAUUUAUUGGGUUUAAAGGGUGCGCAGGCGGAUUUUUAAGUCAGCGGUAAAAUCGUGGGGCUCAACCCCAUCCAGCCGUUGAAACUGAGGAUCUAGAGUGUGCGAGAGGUAUGCGGAAUGCGUGGUGUAGCGGUGAAAUGCAUAGAUAUCACGCAGAACCCCGAUUGCGAAGGCAGCAUACCGGUGCACAACUGACGCUCAGGCACGAAAGCGUGGGUAUCGAACAGGAUUAGAUACCCGGGUAGUC